UAAGCGGAGGAAAAGAAACUAACAAGGAUUCCCCUAGUAGCGGCGAGCGAAGCGGGAAAAGCUCAAAUUUGUAAUCUGGCGCCUUCGGCGUCCGAGUUGUAAUCUCGAGAAAUGUUUUCCGUGUUAGACCGCAUACAAGUCUCUUGGAACAGAGCGUCAUAGUGGUGAGAACCCAGUACACGAUGCGGAUGCCUAAUACUUUGUGAUACAUUUUCGAAGAGUCGAGUUGUUUGGGAAUGCAGCUCAAAUUGGGUGGUAAAUUCCAUCUAAAGCUAAAUAUUGGCGAGAGACCGAUAGCGAACAAGUACCGUGAGGGAAAGAUGAAAAGCACUUUGGAAAGAGAGUUAACAGUACGUGAAAUUGUUGGAAGGGAAACACAUGCAGUCAGACUUGCUAUUCGGGGCAACUCGAUUGGCAGGCCCGCAUCAGUUUUUCGGGGCGGAAAAGCAUAGAGAGAAGGUAGCAGUUUCGGCUGUGUUAUAGCUCUUUAUUGGAUUCGCCCUGGGGGACUGAGGAACGCAGCGUGCUUUUAGCAUGAGCUUCGGCUUAUCCACGCUUAGGAUGCGGGUGUAAUGGCUGUAUAUGACCCGUCUUGAAACACG
rnacentral:rRNA from 1 species